rnacentral:rRNA from 1 species
GACCAACGCUGGCGGCGUGCUUAACACAUGCAAGUCGAGCGGUAAGGCCCUUUCGGGGGUACACGAGCGGCGAACGGGUGAGUAACACGUGGGUGACCUGCCCUCAGCUCUGGGAUAAGCCUGGGAAACCGGGUCUAAUACUGGAUAUGACUCCAUGACGCAUGUUGUGGGGUGGAAAGCCUUGUGCGGCUGAGGAUGGGCCCGCGGCCUAUCAGCUUGUUGGUGGGGUGANGGCCUACCAAGGCGACGACGGGUAGCCGGCCUGAGAGGGCGACCGGCCACACUGGGACUGAGACACGGCCCAGACUCCUACGGGAGGCAGCAGUGGGGAAUCUUGCGCAAUGGGCGAAAGCCUGACGCAGCGACGCCGCGUGAGGGAUGACGGCCU